rnacentral:rRNA from 1 species
UACGUAGGGGGCAAGCGUUGUCCGGAUUUACUGGGCGUAAAGGGCGCGUAGGCGGCCACCGCAAGUCGACUGUGAAAUCUCCGGGCUUAACCCGGAAAGGUCAGCCGAUACUGCGGGGCUAGAGUGCAGAAGGGGCAACUGGAAUUCUCGGUGUAGCGGUGAAAUGCGUAGAUAUCGAGAGGAACACCUGCGGCGAAGGCGGGUUGCUGGGCUGACACUGACGCUGAUGCGCGAAAGCGUGGGGAGCAAACAGG